AACAAACCAAAUUUCAAUUAAUUAUUGUAAAACAAAGUUUUAAGGUGAUUGAUUUUAUGAUCUAAUUUUUAGAAAAAUGAGUUUAAUUAAUGAAAGUGCACAAAUCUGCAAUAUUCAAGAUGAGGAAAAAGAUGAAACAGUUUUGAAGAAAUCAAGUUAAGAAAGCACUAGGGAUAUGCCGUCACCUUAACAAUUUUAUAUAAUUCUCCCCAAUUACUUAUGACCUAUAAAUGCAUAUUUUUAAGGUUAGGUCUUCUUAAAACAUGCAAUCCGUUUGUGGUAUUCUGAUCAAAUCUAAACAUGCAUGACUAAUUAUGUUUUGUGAAACCUUUCGAAAAACCAUGCAACCCUUAAGACGUGGUAUUCAUCCUAAGUGAACUUGCACAUUUUAAUCACAAAUACGCCUUCGUCAAUUUUAAGGGAUCAAAUUACACCAAAAUUGCAUCAAAUUACUUUUCUAUACAUCCUAAUGGUCGCGAAUCAUUAAGACACUUAGACAGUAUAAACCAGUGAUUAAUAAUUCGAAAACCUUCAUGUAAAUAACCUUAAACAAAUUAAAAAAGAAAUUACAUAUGCUUUCUAAGGCUCGUGGCCUCACCCUAGCAAAAAGAGAAUUAACUACGCAUGUUCAUAAUAAAAAUCACAAAGUUCUCUAUUGAAAUAAUAUCGAAAGCACCUUAAAUGUAAAAGUCGGAAAAUCUCUACGCUUGGCCAAUUUCCACCCUCAAAGAACGCAUGGAGAAUAAGCAGUAAUAAUAGGGCUGGCCAAGCUUAUUUAACCUAGUAAAAAUCAAAUCCUCCUAAACAAAGGUCUUCCAAUCAAAACUAGGAAACUAAAUCCCAAAAAUAAAAUAGGAAACAUAACCCUAAAUUAAAAGGUAACAUCAUCCCACUUUAUGGGUCUACUAGUUAUGUUUCAAAAAUCUGACUGUAUAUCUCGUAGGUUAUCCCUCAAAGGUCAUCUCUAACAAAAAUAAAAAUAAUACGAAAGUUGAGCCCAAAAUACAGAUUUUCGAAUUAAUACGGGUAAUGAGAACAUCAUCCCACUUUAUGGGUCUAAGAGUUAUUUUUUCCAAAAUCUGAGUGUACAUCUCAUAGGUCAUCCCUCAAAGACCAUCAGUGCCAUAAAUAACAAAACAAUAUGAAACUUUUAGACCCUUGAAUUAAAAUAAAAGAGCGCAAAAUAUAGAGUUUCGAAAUAAUACGGGUAAUGAGAACAUAUGUGACAGCCCAUCUCGAUUGUGUAUAUUAUUUUAUCCUUGAGAGCAUGGAAAUUUCUAUUAUGCCCUUUAAUCGUUCAGUUGUGUGUGUGUGUAUAGGCUAAGGUUUUGGACCAAUUAGUUCUAUUCCUAAUUAAUUGGACCCAAUUAGAACUAAAAGACUUAAGGUUUUGUUUGAUUGGCUGCAAAAUGAACCACACACACACACCCAUACCAAACCGUUGACUCUCAAAUUUAUGGAGAACUCUCAAAUUUACCUUGACGUGCACGAAUCGACGUUGAGAAGGUUGUUCUUGUGUUCUCUGUGAGUCCAGGAGCUCAUCCAUGCCCUUAGUUUGACAUGAGAACUUGUCAAAUGUAAGAACCAAAAAACCCCGUUUUGGUGCACUGUUCACUCGACAUGUUCGCGGAGGUUUCAGGUAGUUUUGAGACUUAGAAAGGUUCUAUUCUUGCUUUUCUAGCACCUUGGAUUAAUUUUGGAAGAGUUUUGACGUAGAAAUGCUCUGGUUUUAUGAGUUGCAGGGUGACCGAAUUAUUGUGACUUUUUCCGGUGAGAUUCCGGUGGAUUUCAGACUUAUAAGUGGUAAGGAUGUGUUCCUUUUGUCCUAAGCUUCAUUUUAGUAUAAAAAUUCGUGAAUUUUGGUUAAGAAUUGAAGAAGAUAUCACGAUUAGAAGAUUUUCUAGAAACCGGCAAUCGCAACCAAGGAAGAAGGUGGCGAAUAUUCCGUCAAAGUUGACAGAAUAUUCUAACGGCUUCAGGUAUAUUUAACGGCAUAUUCUAUAUUUUAACGGAAUAUUCCCUAACGCGGGUAGGGAAUUCGUCAAUGUGCCAGGCACGUGCUUGCGCGUGGGCCGUGUUUCUGGCCAUGCCUUGGCCGGCACAUGGGUCGUCAGAAAAGUUUUCUAAAAAUAUGGGGAUGUUGCUGAGGUUGAGUAGAUCACGGUGGUAUAUUCAUAUACCCCAAUUGAGCAAUGUAUGAGAAGUUAUUACCUAGUUUUGUUUAUGUGCUUAAAAAUAACGUUUAAAUAGUUGUUUCAUAUAUAGGUGAGACCUAUCGUGAGGACGAGCGCAGUCAAGCAAGGUUCGGGGGUUACGACCCUUCCACAUAUCAGUGAGUGUGCUUUUGGUUUUCAGUAUAUAUAUACAUACUUCGUAUUUUCCCAAUAAAACUUAAUUAAAUGGUUUGAUACUUUCAAAUGCCAUGUCAAAUGCUCUUUAUGUUUAAUUGUGCAUUAUUAUGGUUAUAUAUAUAUAUUGUUGCUUGACGAUGUGGACGUUCAGGUAAGCAAAGGUGAGUAUAUUGAUGGUAGUGAAUAUAUUAGUGCUGAGAUGCAUUUUGAGCUAUUUAUCCUGCAUCCCGAUGUUAGUGCUUCGCUCGAGGAUAGGGCCUAGCCUUCACGUGAUCGUUCACCUCCCGCACCACACGUUCACCUUGGAUCCAAGGCAGGUGCCAGCCUAUCGUACAUACCACUUUAGGUGGUUUCGACUCGUAGGUGACUUGCGAUACUUCGCACAGCCUUCACGUGACUGUAGCACUUGAGCAUAUUUAUUUACACCUAGCCUAUCGUAUAGACCACAUUAGGUGGUUCCGACUCGUGUGCAGAAUUUGAUUGAUGAGUUGUGGACCCAACCGUACAGGUCACUUUAGGUGACUUCAGCUAGUUUACUAUUUCAUAUUGAUUUAUUGCACCUAGCUUACUUAUUUCAUUAUGAGAUUUGACAUGCUAUAUUCGGUGGAUUGCUAUUUUGAAUAUGCUUUGAAAUAUAAUCAUAUCUACUAUUUUCAGAUAAUUAUACAGGUUUUACGGCAAGGGGUUACUACUUUUGAUAGUGAAAUGGUUUAGAAAAGCUUUGUUUUUGCCCACUCAUACUUUCUGUUUUGUGCCCCUCCAGGUUUUAGGUAAGAGUGCUCGUUGGUGGCUCAAGAGGAUUUCACGGCAGCUCUGACAGAUUAUCGCUAAAGUAGGACCAUUUUUAGUAUUGUAUAAUGAGUAUUCGUCCUGCUGGACUGCACUUAGGCUACAUGCGCUCUGGUUAUGUAUAGUCACUUCUAUUAUCGCACUUUCACCUUAUCUCAUCUAGUGUUUUAGUCCGUUGGUUUUUAUUUAUUCGAAUUUCUUAUAUCAUUAUUGCUUCUGCACUGUGCACAUGACUACGUCACCCUCACGUGAUGGCCAGCAUGCCUCGAUAUUAAGUUGGGGUGUGUCAACAUCAUCCCACUUUAUGGGUCUACGAGUUAUGUUUCAAAAAUCCAACUAUAUGUCACCCCUCUGCCCAAAAUAAUAAGAAUACGAAACUUUUAUACCCUAGAAUUGAAAGGAAGGAGCCUGAAAUACAGAUUUUUGAAUUAAUAUGGGUAAUGAGAACAUCAUCCCACUAUAUGGGUCAAUGAGUUAUGUUUUCAAAAAUCCGACUGUACACCUUAUAGGUAUCCCUUAAAGAUCAGCUCUACCAAAAAAAAAUAAAAAAGAAUACGAAACUUUUAGACCCUUGAAUUGAAAGAAAAGAGCCCAAAUACAGAUUUUCGAAUUAAUAUGUGUAACGAGAACAUCAUCCCACUUUAUGGGUUUGUGAGUUAUGUUUCAAAAAUCUGAUUGUGCAUCUCAUAGGUCAUCCCUUAAAGAUUAUUUCUGCCAAAAAUCAAAGGAGUAAGAAGGUUUUAGACCCUUGAAUUGAGAGAAAAGAGCCCGAAAUACAGACUCUUGAAUUAAUACGGGUAAUGAGAACAUCAUCUCAUUUUAUGGGUCUACGAGUUAUGUUUCAAAAAUCCAACUGUACAUCUCAUAGGUCAUAGCACAAAGAUCAUCUUUGCCAAAAAUAAAAAGAAUUCGAAAGUUCGAGACCCUUGAAUUGAAAGAAAAAAGCUCGAAAUAUAUAUUUUUGAAUUAAUACGAGUAAUGAGAGCAUCAUCCCACUAUAUGGGUUUAUGAGUUAUGUUUUCAAAAAUUUUGACUAUCUAUCUCAAAGGUCUUCGCAUAAAGAUCAUCUCUACCAAAAAGAAAAAGAAUACGAAACUUGUAGACCCUUGAAUUGAAAGAAAAAGUGCCCGAAAUAUAGAUUUUCAAAUUAAUACGGGUAAUGAGAACAUCAUCCCACUUUAUGGGUCUACGAGUAUUAUUUCAAAAAUCCGACUAUAGGUCUUAUAUGUCAUUCCAUAAAGAUCAUCUCUGCCAAAAAUAAAAAGAAUAUGAAACUUUUAGACCCUUUAUUUGAAAGAAAAGAUCCCGAAAUACAUAUUUUCUAAUUAAUAGGGUGAUGAGAACAUCAUCCCACUUUAUGGGUCUACGAGUUUUGUUUCAUAAACCUAACUGUACAUCUCAUAGGUCACCCUUUAAAGAUCAUCAUUGCCCAAAAUAAAAAGGAUAUGAAAGUUUAGACCCCUGAAUUGAAAGAAAAGAGCCCCAAAAACAAAUUUUUGAAUUAAUACGGGUAUUGAGAAUAUCAUCCCACUUUAUGGGUCUACGAGUUAUGUUUCAAAAAUCCAACUGUACAACUCAUAGAUCAUCCCUUAAACAUCAUCGCUUCCAAAAAAUAAAAAGAAUACGAAACUUUUAGACCCUUGAAUUGAAAGAAAAGAGCCCGAAAUACAGAUUUUUGAAUUAGUACGAUUAAUGAGAACAUUAUCCCAAUUUAUGGCUCUAUGAGUUAGGUUUCGAAAAUCCAACUGUACAUAUCAUAGGUCAUCCCUUAAAGUUCUUCUCUUCCUAAAAUAAAAAGAAUACGAAACUUUUAGUCUCUUGAAUAGAAAGAAAAGAUCCUGAAAUACAGAUUUUCGAAUUAAUAUGUGCAAUGAGAACAUCAUCCUACUUUAUGUGUCUACAAGUUAUGUUUCAAAAAUCCUACUGUACAUCUCAUAGGUCAUCCCUCAAAGAUCUUCUAUGCCCAAAAUAAAAAGAACAUGAAACUUUUAGACCCUUGAAUUGAACGAAGAGAGCCCAAGAUAGCUAUUUUCGAAUUAAUAUGGGUAAUGAGAACAUCAUCCAACUUUAUGGGUCUAUGAGUUAUGUUUCAAAAAUCCAAACAUACAUCUCAUAGGUCAUCCCUUAAAGAUCAUCUCUACCAAAAAUGAAAGGAAUACAAAACCUUUAGACCCUUGAAAUGAAAGAAAAGAGCCCGAUAUAUAGAUUUUUGAAUUAAUACAAGCUAAUGAGAAUGUCAUCCCACUAUAUGGGUCUACAAGUUAUCUUUCUAAAAUCCAACUAUACAAUGCAUAGGAUAUCCCUUAAAGAUCAUCUCUGCCAAAAAUAAAAAGAACACAAAACUUUUAUACCCUUGAAUUGAAAAAGAAGAAAAAAAAGAUCCCGAAGUACAGAUUUUCGAAUUAAUACGGGUAAUUAGAACAUCAUCAUAAUUUGUGGGUCUAUGAAUUAUGUUUCAAAAACCCAACUGUUCAUCUCAUAGGUCAUCCUGUAAAGAUGGCCUCUGCUAAAAAUAAAAAGAAUAUGAAACUUUUAGACCCUUGAAUUGAAACAAAAGAGCCCCAAAUACAGAUUUUUGGAUUAUUACGGGUAAUGAGAGUAUCGUCCCACUAUAUGGAUCUACAAUUUAUGUUUCAAAAAUAGGACCGUGCACCUCAUAGGUCAUCCCGUAAAGAUCGUGUUUGCCAAAAAAAUAAAAAUAGUGUGAAGCGUUUAGACCCUUGAAUUGAAAUAAAAGAGUCGGAAAUAAAGAUUUUUAAAUUAAUAUGAGUAAUGAGAACAUCGUCCCACAUUUUGGGUCUACAAGUUAUGUUUCAAAAAUCCGACUGUACAUCUCAUAGGUCAUCUCUUAAAGAUCUUCUCUACCUGAAAUAAAAAGAAUACGAAACUUUUAGACCCUUGAUUUGAAAGAAAAGAGCCUGAUAAAUAGAUUUUCAAAUUAAUACGAGUAAUGAGAACAUCAUCCCACUUUAUGGGUCUACCAGUUA
rnacentral:lncRNA from 1 species